rnacentral:rRNA from 1 species
GUGUCAGCAGCCGCGGUAAUACGUAGGGGGCAAGCGUUGUCCGGAUUUAUUGGGCGUAAAGCGCGUGUAGGCGGCCACACAGGUCCGCUGUGAAAACUCGAGGCUCAACCUCGAGACGUCGGUGGAAACCGUGUGGCUAGAGUCCGGAAGAGGAGAGUGGAAUUCCCGGUGUAGCGGUGAAAUGCGCAGAUAUCGGGAAGAACACCCAUGGCGAAGGCAGCUCUCUGGGACGGUACUGACGCUGAGACGCGAAAGCGUGGGGAGCGAACAGGAUUAGAAACCCGUGUAGUCC